CCUACGGGUGGCAGCAGUGAGGAAUAUUGGUCAAUGGGCGCGAGCCUGAACCAGCCAAGUAGCGUGAAGGAUGACUGCCCUACGGGUUGUAAACCUCUUUUGUCAGGGAGCAAGGUGCAGGUCGGGACCUGCUGUGAGAGUACCUGAAGAAAAAGCAUCGGCUAACUCCGUGCCAGCAGCCGCGGUAAUACGGAGGAUCCGAGCGUUAUCCGGAUUUAUUGGGUUUAAAGGGAGCGUAGAUGGGUUGUUAAGUCAGUUGUGAAAGUUUGCGGCUCAACCGUAAAAUUGCAAUUGAUACUGGCAGUCUUGAGUACAGUUGAGGUAGGCGGAAUUCGUGGUGUAGCGGUGAAAUGCUUAGAUAUCACGAAGAACCCCGAUUGCGAAGGCAGCUUACUAAACUGUGACUGACAUUGAUGCUCGAAAGUGUGGGUAUCAAACAGGAUUAGAUACCCCAGUAGUC
rnacentral:rRNA from 1 species